rnacentral:rRNA from 1 species
GACGAACGCUGGCGGCGUGCUUAACACAUGCAAGUCGAACGGAAAGGCCCUGCUUGUGUGGGGUGCUCGAGUGGCGAACGGGUGAGUAACACGUGAGUAACCUGCCCUUGACUUUGGGAUAACUUCAGGAAACUGGGGCUAAUACCGGAUAGGAGCUCCUGCGGCAGGGUGGGGGUUGGAAAGUUUCGGCGGUUGGGGAUGGACUGGCGGCUUAUCAGCUUGUUGGUGGGGUAGUGGCUUACCAAGGCUUUGACGGGUAGCCGGCCUGAGAGGGUGGCCGGCCACCUUGGGACUGAGAUACGGCCCAGACUCCUACGGGAGGCAGCAGUGGGGAAUAUUGCACAAUGGGCGGACGCCUGAUGCAGCAACGCCGCGUGCGGGAUGACGGCCUUCGGGUUGUAAACCGCUUUCGCCUGUGACGAAGCGUGAGUGACGGUAAUGGGUAAAGAAGCACCGGCUAACUACGUG